CUCUGGUAAUAGUUGCUGAAGCUUUACAGUGAAUUUGUCUGCUGAGUAAUCUUGUUCCAUGUGUUUUCAAAUGAACAGAAUGUAUGUUUGGUUCACCAAUCCUGGUGCAAGCUGCCUGGAGAGGGAUUCCAGUCAUUCGUAAGCAGAUUAAUUCUAACAUCAACAGUAACAUGGACCAUCGCAAUCUUCUCUUGAAAGCAUUUAUUGAAUGACCUCAGUAAGUGGUAAACAUCUAUUUUUAAAGUUCCUCUUGCGCAAAUGGAAGGAUGGAAAGUAGUUGA